UUACAAACAUAAAGAAAAAAAGUCGAAGAUUGAUUGUAUAUGUUGGUAUCACUAGGUGCAUCACAUCUCAUCUAUAUAUAUUUGCACCUCCGUAGAAACCUCAUCAUUGGUCCACCUCAAAAUUUUAUUCAAAAAAGCCUUUAAAUCACUCUCCUCUGUUGAGGAAUUUCAAACGUGUCGAGGUUUUUACAAUUGAUCCAAAAGGUAGCUACUAUAUAUUGCACAUGGAAUGGUGGGGUACCUUGAAAAUUGUUGUUCUUGAAAAGGAAUGGAGUAAACUACUUAAAGCAAACAAGUUGGAGGAAGGUUAUUGGAUUCAAUGUCAAGAAAGCGGCAAAAUUCCCAAUUCCAAUUGGUUUUCAAGGUGAGAAAGCGGCAAAAAAGUCACCUUUGGUGAUGGUGAAAGUGGUAACAACGUUGAUAGUAGUGAUAGUAGUGGUGGUGAAGAGGCGGUGGCAAAGUUGUUGCCCACACAUCAUCUCCGAGAGCAGGACAUGGUGUUUGUGUGUGAAAUGUCUGUGUGUGAAAUGUCAUGGUACUUUUUGGACAUGGUGUUUGUGUGUCAUAGGAAAUUUUUGAACCAGAUGGGUUUAGAUUUGUUUUUGGUACUACAGUAAUAGUCCUUUAUUCAAAUUUUAUAUCAGAAUUAACAAGUUCUUGUUUAUGAAAUAAUUACUCUUGUUUUACCGUUGCUUUUUGGUUGAAUAACCUGAGUUAUAGUUACCUAAUAAUUGAUAGAGAUAAUUCAAUAUAAUGGAAUUUCAAAUUCUUUUACAAUAUUUUAAAGAGUACAAAUUGUAAUACCUUAAUUAUUUGCAAAAUGUCAAACCUAAAACUAAAGUCAAAAAUGCCAUGCUAGGCACCAAAAGAAAAAUGAAAUUAAAAGCAAAAAAUACCAGGCGGUGCAUUGGAUAUAUA
rnacentral:lncRNA from 1 species